GGGAAGGAGAGCGGUGUUGAGACGGGGUUGGUUCCGGAGGGGUCACUGGUAAAUACGGAACAAAUACCGGCAGCAACCAAUAGCUUGUGUCCUAGCUGCAAGUACCUCUGUGAAGACUGCCCCUACGAUCCACCGAGUCCCGUCCCACACCUCACACGUACGGACGGUCAGUACAGACCAGCACAGAGCAGCGGGACGGCCGUUGCCUUCUGGGAGCUGUAGUUCGGGUAUGGCCGCGGGAAAAGCUCCAUUUUCCAGUGCCGGAGCCCUCGCCUCGCCUCAAAAUGCGGGUCCCCGGCAGGUAGGGGGGAGCUGCUCCUCCGCCCGCGCUCCCGUAGAGGGCAGCCUUGUCUCAGCGGCUCCGUGCGGCUCGGCUCGGCUCGGCUCGGCUCGGCCCGGCCGGGCGCCGGCAGAGGGUGGGAAGGAGUUCGCCCCUCCGGGCACCGUUGCAUUUUGCAGCCGUGCAGCGUUUUGCCACUCCCGCGUCUGCAAAAUUGGUUUUGCACGAUGUCUCUGGUUUUGGAGGGAAGUACAUUUUUGUGCUCGAGAGAGAAUUAUCUCCCUUGUCUUCCCCUUGCAUGUCAUGAUCAGCAGCACUUUCAAUCACUGGUCCUCCACAGAAAUUUCCAGCACCUUCUUUCUUCUGUUUUUCUGCAAGAAGGUUGGAAGGUUGCACCACAGCCAGCUCCCCUCACUCCUCAGUCCCCCAG
rnacentral:lncRNA from 1 species